UAACGGCUGAACCAGCAACUUGGGGGAAUGUAGCCAUAUGUAGAAAUACAUAUGUGUGUCGACUAUGUCGUAUAAAGUUCUAGAUAGAUUACUGAUAAUGACAAUUAUCUAUCUAUAUGUCUUGACCAAAUCUCGUGCCAGCAGUCGCGGCAAUACGAGGAAGACUAGUGUUAUUCAUCUUUAUUAGGUUUAAAGGGUACCUAGACGGUAUAUCAAGCCCCCUAAAGGGAACUGAUAUACUAGAGUUUUAUGUGAGAGGUAUAUAUUAGUACUAUUGGUGUAGAGAUGAAAUUCUUUGAUACUAAUAGGACGGAUAACAGCAAAAGCAAACCUUUAUGUAUAAACUGACGUUGAGGGACGAAGGCUUGGGUAGCGAAUAGGAUUAGAUACCCUAGUAGUCCAGGCAGAGAAUUAUGAAUGUUAUAGACUGGCCUCUUAGCUUGUGUAUAAAUGAAAGUGUAAGCAUUCCACCUCAAGAGUAAUGCGGCAACGCAGGAACUGAAAUCAUUAGACCGUUUCUGAAACCAGUAGUGAAGUAUGUUAUUUAAUUCGAUAGCCCUCGAAAAACCUUACCACAAUUUGAAUAUUAUUUAUUUAAAUAAUACAAGUGUUGCACGGCUGUCUUCAGUUAAUGUCGUGAGAUUCUGGUUAGAUCCAUUAAAUUAACGUAAACCCUUGCUUUAUUUGUUUUUAUAAAGUAGUUCACCGAUAUAUUGGAUGUGAUAAUAGGGACUAAGUCA
rnacentral:rRNA from 1 species